CAGCCCCCACCCCACCCGGUGGAAGUCCGAGGCCUGAGGGGGGGCAUCGAGCGGGGCGUGGGAGGCCCGCACGCUCCCCACCCCCAGCCGCGACCCGGAGGAGGGGAACGUGCCGGGAGGCUCGAGUCCCCCUCCCAGAGUGCUCUGGGCCGGAGAAACCUCCCGCAGGCUCCCGGGCCAGGCGUGCAAGGCCCCCUCUCCUGCCAGGGCCCAGGACGCUGCGGGCCCCAGCGGAGGGGAAGGGGACUAAGUAGGGGAAGAAGCUGUAAACAGCCCCAGCGUCCGGGCCUCGCCUCGAAGAGCCGCGCUUCCCAGGCCCAGCCGCGGGCCGCCCAGGCCCCCAGCCUGCCCCGGGGCCGCCGCGCCCGGGGUCCGGGACACCGGAGGGGAGUCGGGUCCCCUCCCCGGAGAGCUCCGGGAGCUCGCGGAGCGGCCCCAGGAGCAGAGAAGGGGGAAGUCAGGACUUACCUGUCAUUACUUUCUACGCCAUCUUGGAUCCACUUGUCAACGUCCCCACAAAGCAUUAUGGGUAAGAAAGAGCCUUUAAAGUGACUCCCCCCGGCCCCCGACUCCCGCCUCCCGCCGCCGGCGCCGCCCCCUCCGGCCGCGCCUCCCGCCCGGAAAGUUGCCCCGGGUGGACUGCCGACCCCGGCGCCCGCAGCUGGCCCCUUCCCCUCCCCCGGGCUGACGGCAUUGAAAAUUCACCCGCAUUUUUAAAACGUGGCUUUGGGGUUUUCUCCCUUUCUCCUGCCCCGGCCUCCCUGCCCCCACGCCCGGUCCUCUCGCCUCGCCGCGUUCCUGCCCGGGCAGACGCCCCGCGUCUGCAUUGAAUCAACCCGAGGUUUCCUUGCCGCCCGCGGCGCGGCGCGGAGCUGCUCGCGGAUUUAUUUGUGCGCGUGGAUGUGAGCGUUUCUGCUCCUGCGGCCGCGCUUCCAGGAAGCCCGCGAGCGGCCGGGGUCGCCUUCAGAGGCCGCGCAGACCAGCUCCGCACCCGCCGCCCGGAGAGGUGCCUCUGCCCUGGGAAACCGCCCCGGGGCCGUUGGGCUCCGGGAACUGGGAGGACGCCGUGUCCCCGAGUCCACCAGCGUCGAAGCACGAUUUAAAAAAAAAAAUUGAGCCAAAUGCAACUUUUUACCCCUUGUUUACUCUGUGUCCCGCGGUCUCCUCCUCCGGGCGGGUAACGUGAUCCGCGACCCUCUAGGUGGGGACCCCUCCCCUAGGAAUGUGGCUCCAGGCUCCGCGGAGCCACCCUGGGAGCGUCCGGGCUGCGGACUGUGACUCCGGGGCAGGCUCUCCCACGGAGCACCCUCUGCUGACUCUGCAGCCCCGCAGGCCUUCCUCGAACAGUCCAUGACAGGAAGCCAGGCUUCCUGGGGUCCUGAGUCAGCAGAGCAGGAAGGAAACAAAGGCCUCAGAACCGCAGAAGAGAAAGAAGGCAGCCUGAAGACAGAAGGCGACCCUCUGAAGACAGGUCUAGAGACUUAACGUAUGAUGUUCCUGGAGUCCUGUUGCCUGUAAGGGAAGCACAAACCCUGAGUUGCACUGUGUCCUCUGACCUGUCUGAUCCCAGAGGUACCUCUUCAGUAGAAAAAUUCAAUAAGGUUUCUGACACUUUCUACCUAUGGGCCAGUUACAUACAGAAGAGAAAACUGAAACUGAAAACUGGUUUGUCAUUUUUACAGAAAGUCACUGCAAAGAAGGAGAAUUCCAAGUGCAAAUGACUUGAGGUGUUGAAUUGAGAACCAGGCAGAUCCACCACCUACAGUAAAGAUGACCCUAAAGUGAAUUGGUUGAAGAAAUUAGAUCCCAAAGAUUCUUGGUGAAUUUUCAAGUCUUCAUCAGUAUAUCCAUAUUAAAAGGAGAUGACAGAAGCCAAAAUAAAAGAAUUAUGGGCUGACGGGACAACUGGAUUAAAAUAAGCAUCAGUUUCGUUAAAAAGGGCUAACUUGAAGAUAAAUCUUUUGACUCCAGCUCUUUAGAGGAUCUAAAGUGACCCUGAUGGACAGUGGAAAAAAUCACAACAUGGAAUCCCUUGGAUAAAAAUCUAUUGACUUUGAAUAAUUUUGCCUAAUGUUACAUAAUACACAAUUAAAAAAAAAAAAAACCUUGGCCAGGCAUGGUGGCUCACACCUGUAAUCCCAGCACUUUGGGAGGCCGAGGUGGGCAGAUCACAAAGUCAAGAGAUCGAGACCAUCCUGGCCAAUAUGGUGAAACCCUGUCUGUACUAAAAAUAACUUACCUGGGCAUGGUGGCACUCGCCUGUAGUCCCAGCUACUCGGGAGGCUGAGGCAGGAGAGUGGCGUGAACCCAGGAGGCGGAGGUUGCAGUGAGCCGAGAUUGCACCACUGCACUCCAGCCUGGGCGAAAAGAGUGAGACUCCGUCUAAAAAAAAAAGAUUAUAGAUAGGCCAAAGCCAAAACCAGGGGUGCAAAAGGGAAAUAAAUCAGGAGCCAAGUACCAAGUGUCAGGAUCAGGAUCCAGAAAGGCAGGAUACAGCAGAGACACUAAAACCAGGACCAUGGUAAAAGUGAGACACUGGAGAAAGAAACCAAAGAGAACACUGUAACCGGGAGCCUAGCUAAUCUUGCAGUUGGAUUGAGAGGCAAACUGGGUGAUUUUUCCACUGGCUGACCUUUUAGAAGUUCCAGACAUGUUCUCCCAAAGGCACUAAGUUCUGGGUCCCAGAGAAGUGGGCUCAUGGCACGGCUGAUCUCAGAGUUGGUGCUUGUGCAGCUCCUGACACAAGGUGCCCCUCUAAAUGAAGAGCCAAGGAGCACACGUUUAUCGAAGGUCUACUUUGCGCCCCUUGUGGCAACACUCAUACUUGGAGGCAGAGGCUACCAUCAGAAUAUAAAUUUUAUCCUCAGGAAGAUGAGAAGACAACUGGCUUAGAAACUAGCUUAGAACAUUUCCAAGUUUGACACAGGGCCAGGGGCUGUCAAGCCUCAACCACAAUGCAAUCAACCACCAGCUCUAUUCCACAGGCGCAUGUCCAGGUCGGCUAAUAAAUGGAAAAGCCAGGAUUAAGAUUCAAGUUUCGUCCGGUCACGGUGGCUCACUCCUGUAAUCCCAGCACCUUGGGAGGCCAAGGCGGGCAGAUCAUGAGGUCAAGAAAUCGAGAUCAUCCUGGCCAACAUGGUGAAACCCCGUCUCUACUAAAAAUAUAAAAAUUAGCUGGGCACAGUGGUGCACGCCUGUAAUCCCAGCUACUUGGGAGGCAGAAGCAGGAGAAUCGCUUGAACCUGGGAGGUGGAGGUUGCAGUGAGCCGAGAUCUCGCCACUGCACUUCAGUCUGGGUGACAGAAUGAGACUCCGUCUCAAAAAAAAAAAAAAAAAAGAUUCAAGUUUCUUAGCCUGGGCAACAACGACGACAAAAAAUUCGGAGCUUAUGGUGGUGCAGGCCUGUAGUCCUAGCUACUCAGCAGGCUGUGGCAGGGGGUGUCACUUGGAGGCUGCAGUGAGCUAUGAUUGCACCACUGCACUCCAGCCUGGGCCACAGAGCAAGAUUCCGUUUCAGAAAAAAAAUAAAUAAAUUUGGGCCGGUCUCGGUGGCUCACGCCUGUAAUCCCAGCACUUUGGGAGACUGAGGCCGGUGGAUCACCUGAGAUCGGGAGUUCGAGGCCAGUCUGACCAACAUGGAGAAAUCCCCGUCUCUACUAAAAAUACAAAAUUAGCUAGGUGUGGUGGCGUAUGCCUGUAGUCCCAGCUACUCAAGAGGCUGAGGCUUGAACCCGGGAGGCAGAGGUUGCGGUGAGCCAAAAUCGCGCCAUUGCACUCCAGCCUGGGCAACAAGAGCGAAACUCCGUCUCAAAAAAAUAAAAUAAAUAAAAUAAAUAAAUUUUAUCAAUCAUGGUGGUGUUUUUUGUUGUUGUUGUUGCUGUUUGACAGGGUCUUAAAAAUAAAUAAUUUAAGUAAAUAAAAAUAAAUAAUU
rnacentral:lncRNA from 1 species